rnacentral:rRNA from 1 species
UACAGAGGUCUCAAGCGUUGUUCGGAUUCAUUGGGCGUAAAGGGUGUGUAGGUGGCGCGCUAAGUCGGGUGUGAAAUUUCGGAGCUUAACUCCGAAACUGCAUUCGAUACUGGCGUGCUUGAGGACUGGAGAGGAGACUGGAAUUUACGGUGUAGCAGUGAAAUGCGUAGAUAUCGUAAGGAAGACCAGUGGCGAAGGCGGUUCUCUGGGCCUGUACUGACGCUGAGGAACGAAAGCGUGGGGAGCGAACAGG